GGGGUCCAACAGACAUGAAAUCCCAUAAAUAUUCUUCAACUCCACAGACACUGAGAAGCCACUGUGAUUACGAGAGACCAAGGAUGAGUGCUGGGAGUGGCAAGGCCGGCGUAAGGGAAGAGGCCCACCUCUGCUAUUGGACUCUGCACCCCGACAGGAAGAAAAAAAGCCAUUUGAAGCUGAUGACUGUGUACUCUGAGAACCAAGGGACUACAGCUAAAGGAACCCUGUGCUCAACCCCAGGCCCACUAGAUGAAGACCAGCAAGCUGAUUUGUCCAUAGAGCCUUUUUUCUGCUCAUGUGGCACGUCUAUGUACUCUGCAGAGAAGAACUCCAAGCAAGGCAUUCUAUUCUUGCUGUUCCGUACCUCCUCCUGCUCUGAGCUAAUUAAGGGUCACUUCGGGAUUUCCAGAGUUUUCUUUGGUGGCUUCAGAGGGGAAAGAUAGGAGGUGGCUUUGAACAAACAGGAACCUCACCCAUAAAGCCAAUCUAGAAUUUCAACCUCAGUUCUUGUGCCAGCUGAAUCGUCACGUGGGACAGGAGCAGCGCACUGUGCCAGGGAAUUUGCCCUUAGGGAAAGACAAAACCCCAAGAGCAAGGAUACACACACACACACACACACACACACACACACACACACACACACACAAA